rnacentral:lncRNA from 1 species
AGAUGGGGUCGCAGCGAGAUGGUGAUGGAAGUGUUGAUCGCCCAGCCAAGGCGAGGUGGUGCGCGGUGACCGGCGGCCGGGGGUUCAUGGCGAGGCACCUCGUGGCGGCCCUGGUCCGUUCCGGCGAGUGGAAUGUGCGGGUCACCGACCUCGCCCCUACCAUCGUGCUCGGCCCCGGCGAGAGUGAGGGCCUCCUCGGCGAUGCCCUCCGUGACGGCCGCGCCGUCUAUGCCUCGGUGGAUGUCUGCAACCUGGACC